ACCGGAGGGCCAGUACCGUAGCACCACCACCACGAUCACCAUCUUCAUGUUGUGGUGUUUCUGUUUCUUUUUAGGGGUUUUUUUUCCUCAAAAAAGAAAGAAAGGAAAGAGGGAAGGAGAAGAGGGAGGGGCGGUGACUGGAGGGUCACCACUGUCACACCACCACCACUGUCACCAUCUGGUGUCUGUUUAUUGGGGGUUUUGACCUCCAUACGAAUGCUGGGCUCUCUCCAUUUAGCACCGCCUCUGUUUCUCUCUCUGCAAAUUUCUCUCUCUCAACGGUCGGGGAAAUGAACAUUUAUCUUCGUGGUUUGUUCCGAUUGACCUAUUUUGGUGGUCAUCUCUCCUUGAGGUUUUCAGUUGCAGCCAUGGACUUCUAUUUGGCUUUAGAACUCUGAGCCUGGGAUGGGAAGUGCAACCAUCUUUUGUUGUUUAUGAUUUGUCAAGUUUUAGGCAUCUUUUUUAAAAAGACAGAGGAGCUAAUCAUUUUGUGGUUGCUUGCUUGCUAAUGAACUGAAGUAUCGCUACCCAUAUGCAAAGGUAAAGAACCCUAAUCUUUGAUGAUUUCUGCAAAAUACUGUUCACGAGAUUUUUUUGAGUCUUUUCAUUGUUUGUAUCUUGCAACUUUAUGUUGAAAUCAUUUUCUUUUUGUUGAGAAUGAUAAUCUAUAUAGACAAUAGUCUUAUGUCGCUUUUAUUGAGGGUGCAAUCUCUAGGUAUGUAUUAUGCCUACCUAAACUUAUAGUUAAAUUACUAUGACCAAACGCAAAUGACGUAUGGAAGAGGAUGUGGAGGGUUAAUUUCAGUUCAAAAUGCAUAGGCCUGGUGAAGACGCAUGUAAGAACCGUCAUGAGGGUUUCAGUUCAAGAUGUGUGAACCUGUUUAUGGUUGUAUGAAGAUGGGUUUAAUCUUUGAUUUGUGAACUGUGUUUGAUGUGUUGUUUUGUGGUAAUGUGAUUGAUCUGAUUAGGGUUUGCUUGAUUGGUUUAAGAUAAAGUGGGGAAGAGUGGGUCAAAAAACGUUCAAAUAUUAACGAUGCGAGAUUGGCAAAGAUCAGUAGGGUAUGUAACGUGGUGUUAUAUGCCAGCAUCUCCAUUUCUCUGUUGAAGAUCAAUUAACUAUUAUGUAUGUAUCCUUGAUGUAGCACUUCUUUGGGGGGAGCAAUGGGCGUCUUCACCACGCAACCACUUCUACACUCUGUUAAAAGUCAAGCUAUGCCAGGUGUUGGUUAAGGAAGGAUGGUGUGAUCAUAGAGGAACAUGGCAAGAUGUUAAAGCCAAGAUUCAAAUAAGGCAAGAAGGUGCCUUUAAACGUGAAUGAGCGCUAGCAUAUGAUCUUGCUCAGGAGGUAAUGAAUCCUUACCUACUUGAGAUUGUAAAAUGGGUGGGUCAGGCCUGUUCCGUAAAGGUUCAAAUGGGUUAACAUUUUUUGUUAACCAUAAGGUUAAACAUUAGCUGAAUGGUGCCUAUGGUCAUAGAAACCGGUGAAACCACCGGCUGGACCAUUGGGCACUGGGUUGGUUAUAGCUUCACACAUUGCAGGUGUAUUAUAUACAGAUCAAGGGGGAUAGCUAUUGAAUGUAACUAUUAUGUGUUGACUGGUAACACUGGUUCAUGCCAUAGUGAUCAACGGGAUUCUUAAGAUCAACAGUGGGGACAGUUUCUUUUCAACAUUUGUGGGCCUCGAGUCGAGUCCCAUCUGAUGAUGCAGAACGGCCUGAAUACAAGCUCUUAUUAUACAAGAUACUGCAGGUGAAAGCACUAGCGACACAAAGAAGACUAGGUACUCGGAUGCAUGAAGAAAAAAACUUUUGUGAUUUAUGUAUAACUAGAAGACUAUGUUCGUACUUCUAUAAUUCUCUUAAUAUGUCACGUUGAGACACAUCAACAACUUUUUGUAUCAACUUCAUUACUACAAAUGAAAUGUUCAA